rnacentral:rRNA from 1 species
AAUAGAUACCCAGGUAGUCCACGCCGUAAACGAUGAGUGCUAAGUGUUAGAGGGUUUCCGCCCUUUAGUGCUGCAGCUAACGCAUUAAGCACUCCGCCUGGGGAGUACGGUCGCAAGACUGAAACUCAAAGGAAUUGACGGGGGCCCGCACAAGCGGUGGAGCAUGUGGUUUAAUUCGAAGCAACGCGAAGAACCUUACCAGGUCUUGACAUCCCACUGACCGGUAUAGAGAUAUACCUUUCCCUUCGGGGACAGUGGUGACAGGUGGUGCAUGGUUGUCGUCAGCUCGUGUCGUGAGAUGUUGGGUUAAGUCCCGCAACGAGCGCAACCCUUGAUCUUAGUUGCCAGCAUUUAGUUGGGCACUCUAAGGUGACUGCCGGUGACAAACCGGAGGAAGGUGGGGAUGACGUCAAAUCAUCAUGCCCCUUAUGACCUGGGCUACACACGUGCUACAAUGGAUGGUACAAAGGGCUGCAAGACUGCGAAGUCAAGCCAAUCCCAUAAAAACCAUUCUCAGUUCGGAUUGCAGG